CCGAGCGUUAAUCAGAAUUACUGGGCUUAAAGGGUGCGCAGGCGGACUGGUAGGUAUCUCGUGAAAGCCCCCGGCUCAACCGGGGAAUUGCGGGGUAAACCACCAGUCUUGAGGUAGGUAGAGGUGAGUGGAACCAUGGGUGGAGCGGUGAAAUGCGUAGAUAUCCAUGGGAACGCCAAUGGCGAAGGCAACUCACUGGGCCUUACCUGACGCUCAGGCACGAAAGCGUGGGGAGCGAACGGGAUUAGAUACCCCGGUAGUCCACGCCGUAAACGAUGUGCACUGGGUCGAGGGAGCUCUCACGCUUUCUCGGCCGAAGGAAAACUGUUAAGUGCACCGCCUGGGGAGUACGGUCGCAAGGCUAAAACUCAAAGGAAUUGACGGGGGCUCACACAAGCGGUGGAGCAUGUUGCUUAAUUCGAGGCAACGCGAAGAACCUUACCUGGGCUUGACAUGCAUGGAUUAACCUUUCGAAAGAUAGGCCACGCCCUUUGGGUGGAACAUGCACAGGUGCUGCAUGGCUGUCGUCAGCUCGUGCUGUGAAGUGUCGGGUUAAGUCCCUUAACGAGCGCAACCCCUAUCGUUAGUUGCUAACGCGUCAUGGCGAGCACUUUAGCGAGACUGCCGGUGUCAAACCGGAGGAAGGUGGGGAUGACGUCAAGUCCUCAUGGCCCUUACGCCCAGGGAUGCAAACGUGCUACAAUGGCGUGGACAAAGCGAUGCGAUACCGCGAGGUGGAGCAAAUCGCAAAAACCACGCCCCAGUUCGGAUUGCAGGCUGCAACUCGCCUGCAUGAAGCCGGAAUCGCUAGUAAUCGUGGAUCAGCUACGCCACGGUGAAUACGUUCCUGAG
rnacentral:rRNA from 1 species